rnacentral:rRNA from 1 species
ACCAGACUCCUACGGGAGGCAGCAGUGGGGGAUAUUGGACAAUGGGGGGAACCCUGAUCCAGCGAUGCCGCGUGAGGGAAGAAGGUUUUCGGAUUGUAAACCUCUGUGGACAGGGACGAUAAUGACGGUACCUGUCAAGAAAGCCACGGCUAACUACGUGCCAGCAGCCGCGGUAAUACGUAGGUGGCGAGCGUUGUCCGGAUUUACUGGGUGUAAAGGGCGUGUAGGCGGGAAAGCAAGCCAGAUGUGAAAACCAUGGGCUCAACCUGUGGCCUGCAUUUGAAACUGUUUUUCUUGAGUACUGGAGAGGCAGACGGAAUUCCUAGUGUAGCGGUGAAAUGCGUAGAUAUUAGGAGGAACACCAGUGGCGAAGGCGGUCUGCUGGACAGCAACUGACGCUGAGGCGCGAAAGCGUGGGGAGCAAACAGGAUUAGAUACCCCUGUAUG